CCCUUAGAUGUUCUGGGCCGCACGCGUGCUACACUGAGUGGAUCAGCGGGUCAGGUUGCGCGAAAGUGUUUCCUAAUCUUGAAAUCCGCUCGUGAUGGGGAUUGACGGUUGCAAUUUUCCGUCAUGAACGAGGAAUACCUUGUAAGCGCGGGUCAUCAUCCCGCGCUGAAUACGUCCCUGCCCUUUGUACACACCGCCCGUCGCUCCUACCGAUUGAGUGAGCCGAUGAAACUGCCGGAUGUGGACUAUUCAUAGUCUGCAGAAGAUAUUUGAAUCGUAGCGCUUAGAGGAAGGAGAAGUCGUAACA
rnacentral:rRNA from 1 species